GGAUGUUGUAGCCGAUUUUUAGGAGGAUGUUGAGGGAAUAUAGGUUGUUAAGGGAUUUAAGGAUUGAGGGGAGUGUUCUGUGGAGAUUUGGAUGGAGGAGUUUGGAAGGAACCGAAACUAGUAGUGGCAAUUCCGGCUACUCUCUCUUAUUUUUCAAUUUUCUGAUAGUUUUUUCGUUUCUGCUUUUGGUUUUUCUCUUUGUUUUCAUCCUUUAUUCUUUUUCUUUUUCUUCCAAAGACAAAUGACAAUUGUUUCUUUUCCCAAAUCUUGGUUUCACC
rnacentral:lncRNA from 1 species